GACGAACGCUGGCGGCGUGCUUAACACAUGCAAGUCGAACGGUGAAGCCCCUUCGGGGGUGGAUCAGUGGCGAACGGGUGAGUAACACGUGAGCAACCUGCCCUUGACUCUGGGAUAACUCCGGGAAACCGGAGCUAAUACCGGAUACGACACGCGAAGGCAUCUUCUGCGUGUGGAAAGAUUUAUCGGUCAAGGAUGGGCUCGCGGCCUAUCAGCUUGUUGGUGGGGUAACGGCCCACCAAGGCGACGACGGGUAGCCGGCCUGAGAGGGCGACCGGCCACACUGGGACUGAGACACGGCCCAGACUCCUACGGGAGGCAGCAGUGGGGAAUAUUGCGCAAUGGGCGAAAGCCUGACGCAGCGACGCCGCGUGAGGGAUGAAGGCCUUCGGGUUGUAAACCUCUUUCAGCAGGGAAGAAGCGAAAGUGACGGUACCUGCAGAAGAAGCACCGGCUAACUACGUGCCAGCAGCCGCAGUAAAAC
rnacentral:rRNA from 1 species